rnacentral:rRNA from 1 species
CCUACGGGUGGCUGCAGUGGGGAAUAUUGGACAAUGGGGGGAACCCUGAUCCAGCCAUGCCGCGUGUGUGAAGAAGGCCCUCGGGUUGUAAAGCACUUUCAGUGAGGAAGAACGCCUGGUGGUUAAUACCCAUCAGGAAAGACAUCACUCACAGAAGAAGCACCGGCUAACUCCGUGCCAGCAGCCGCGGUAAUACGGAGGGUGCGAGCGUUAAUCGGAAUUACUGGGCGUAAAGCGCGCGUAGGUGGCUUGAUAAGCCGGUUGUGAAAGCCCCGGGCUCAACCUGGGAACGGCAUCCGGAACUGUCCAGCUAGAGUGCAGGAGAGGAAGGUAGAAUUCCCGGUGUAGCGGUGAAAUGCGUAGAGAUCGGGAGGAAUACCAGUGGCGAAGGCGGCCUUCUGGACUGACACUGACACUGAGGUGCGAAAGCGUGGGUAGCAAACAGGAUUAGAUACCCGAGUAGUC